rnacentral:rRNA from 1 species
UACGUAGGGUGCAAGCGUUACUCGGAAUUACUGGGCGUAAAGCGUGCGCAGGCGGUUAUGCAAGACAGAUUUGAAAUCCCCGGGCUUAACCUGGGAACCGCAUUUGUGACUGCAUAGCUGGAGUACGGCAGAGGGGGAUGGAAUUCCGCGUGUAGCAGUGAAAUGCGUAGAUAUGCGGAGGAACACCGAUGGCGAAGGCAGUCCCCUGGGCCUGUACUGACGCUCAUGCACGAAAGCGUGGGGAGCAAACAGG